UUACUUUAUAUAUUUUUUUCUACAGUGAAUGCAUAUUCUUUGUAUAAUGACCAAUGUUCUGGCAAAGGGAGCAGUUCCUUUCCCUUCCGAGCUCUCUGACUCACCCUUUUCCUCUCCUUCCUCUUCUUUUAUCCCCUCUCUUCCUGGCCUCACAGGUUUCUAUUCUCUUCCUAGGCUGGUGCUGAAAUCCCAAAUGACUCACCUACCAGAGGCAGGCAGAACGCCAGGUAAUGAGAACAGGCAUCAGUAAGGUGGAAGGCUGAAGCUCCAAACUCGAGGGGAGCGUGGCUCCUGCUGUUUCGGGGCUGGGGAAGAACAUCUCCUGUGGGAGAACAGGAGUCAUUUCCUGCCUCAGGCUCUGCUCUCUGGUCACCGCGAGGAGGCAGGUGAGGCCCCUGGCCCUGGAGAUCUGGGGCUCAGCCCCUACGAUUCCCUCCUUGGACCCCCAGCCCCGCCAUCUCCCUUUCUCGGGAGGCCUCUGCCGCGGCCCACUCCACGCGGAGCUUGUAUCUUACGGCCAGAGGGCUGACUCCUUCUCUUUAUUUCCAAAUUCCUUGAAGACAGAUUGCAUGCUGCCAGCCACUUGUGACUCCGUCAGAUGACCGGCGACCGGCUCCCCUGUGGUCGCUCUCACGCUCGCCUGGGUGGCAGGAGCCUCUGGCCUGGUUUCUGGAUUUCUCACAAAGGGACUUCGUCCACACACCGUAGUUGAGCUGAUGCCUCUGGGGGAGAGGAGGGGCUGGGGCUUCCUCUCCCUCCCUCCUGCCGACCUGCCUGCUUCUCGGGCUCCUUAAAGUGUCCAGGUUCCUAAGUUCAAAUUAUAUUUCAGAAAACAUGUCUCUAAGUUUCAAAUGAAGAACCUGCCACGGUGGUCCCUUCGCUCUCUGUUCCUCCCCUGGGCUCGGAAACAUGAGUCUCUCUUCGGUGUAGGUGGUGGUGGUUGUCCAGGGGCUGAGUUUCUUGAUUCUUCUUGAUCUGCUCCAUGAAGACACCGCACAGCUGGUCGGGCAGAGCUUUGCAGCUGGAGCGGGCAGCCCGCUGGGGACUGGCCACAAGACCGGGGACUGCUUUCCUGAGGAAGAGCCUGACAGCCUGAUGGCAGCGGGCCCGCUGGGGCUGUCGCCCCUGGCACGGAGGCGUCUGCAGGCAGGAGCCCGGGUCAUGCUGGCGCUGGCCACUUUCACCCCCCCCACGAAGAGUGACAGAGGCCUCUUCUCAGAGGCCCUCAGUUUCCAAGACCACAGACAAUGAUGUCUCAGUCACUGCCCCCCUGAACCAGUAACUCUUACUCAAACGAAAAAGACAUCUUUGAUUUCUCAUAACUCCCUAAAAAUAAAAUCACAUACUUAAUUAUCUGCUCUACUGAGCUCCACCUUGAUUUUUAGUCAAAUUAUUCCCAGUUUGCUCAUUGUUGAGGGGAAGUGUGUGGUGGAGGGGCAGGGGAGGAGAGGUGGUUGAAAAAUGCCUGCAAAUGUCAGGUCAAGUUUAAACAGCUGACAGGACCCUCCAAGUGGGAAAGACGCUAGAGACAGUGGACUGGACUAUCUCUCGACUUCAACACUCUGUUUAAGAUCUCCUCCAUCCUUAUUUACUGUGUCUACCUAAUGAGCUUUGAUUUGUGGCCAGAGGUUGCACUCAGCCAGCUGUACUCAACAACCACCAGGACACAUGGCUUCCAUCGAAGUUGCCGCACAGCUGUGAACUGGUUCAAGUGUUGACUGGUCACACGAAAGGGAGGGAAAGGCCUAUUCUGGCAUCAGAAGGAGUGACUGAGCAGGAACACAGAGACCGUGUGAGGGCUAAGGUAGUGGUUUGAGUUUGGGAACCCAAACAUGAUGCAUUUGGCUGAGGCUGUCUCUCUCCAUCCAUCACCAUGGCGGUCAUUGUCAGGCUGACAUCACAGAGAGCUAGCUGGGUCUUUAAGACUACUGGAGGUCAGCCCACUGGGGUCAACCCCCGAUCCUCAGAGAAGCACAUGGCUGUGAAACUCUUACAACAAGAAUGAGUUGUGGUCCAAUAAAUGUUGGUGAGGAUGUGGAGAAACAGACUCGUACUUUGUUGGGGGCCAAGUAAAAUGGUACAGCUGUUGUAGGAAAAUUUGGCAAUUCCUCAAGAACUUAAACACAGAAUUAUUGUAUGAUUCAGCA
ensembl:lincRNA